AAAAAAGCGAUGACCGAGGAAGUAGUUUUGUCAUCCGCGCUUUUCAGGGAGUGUCCAUCCAGACUGUAAGUGGACGCAGGCGCCGACCAAAUGAAGUUCCCUCGUGAGCCGCAGAGCUGAAUCACAGUAGGCUUUGCCGGGAUUCCUCCGUUAACGGGAUAGGAUAUGUUGUAUCCGAAAAAUGAGUGCGGCGCAGCCAAAUCUGUGCCGAAUGUGGGUGGUACCGCGGAAUGUUUGUCUUUCGUCCCUAAC
rnacentral:ncRNA from 1 species